rnacentral:rRNA from 1 species
UACGAAGGGGGCUAGCGUUGCUCGGAAUUACUGGGCGUAAAGCGCACGUAGGCGGCUUUCUAAGUCGGGGGUGAAAUCCUGGAGCUCAACUCCAGAACUGCCUUCGAUACUGGAAAGCUCGAGUCCGGGAGAGGUGAGUGGAACUGCGAGUGUAGAGGUGAAAUUCGUUGAUAUUCGCAAGAACACUAGUGGCGAAGGCGGCUCACUGGCCCGGUACUGACGCUGAGGUGCGAAAGCGUGGGGAGCAAACAGG